UUGAAAUCCCAUGUAGCACGUGCUUCAAUGCAUCGCGGGCAUGCUCACACCUACAGCUAUUCUGUUUGCCUUUGCAGAUGCCAGGCUAAUCAGAGAACACCUUGUCCCUUGUCCCCUGCUGCAAGGACAGACCGGAGUUUUACUUGUCUCCAGCUGAUGGAGCCAGGCAAAGCAGGCACCAGCAGCAAGAUCCUAGUGGCAACUUUGAAUUUAGAGCAUUCCAGGGGCAGCUGUGGCAUAAAUAAGAACACCUGCUGUAUUCUCCCAGCAAACACUGGGGCCAUGGUGUUUCUCCUCUAAUGACACCUCAUCAAUCCGCUCCUAUCAACGUCCCAGCCAUGGAGGUGACUUGGAGUGCUCAGAAGCUAUAGAAAAUGUCAACGUUUUGGGAGAAAAGUUGAGCAAAUGAGAGCGCUCACAGAUAUGGAUUUGCCAGCUGAAACGUGAAGGUGGCAUCUCGCAGCAGCAGGGUGGUGAACAGCCAAAUCAAGCAGGGGUGAAGGCAGCAUCUUUCACUGCAUGGCCCUUUCCAUAAUCCGCUUCUGGGUGGAACAUAAAGGCGCUUCCAGAGCAGACAAAUGAAGGCUACUUCAUGAUGAUGACAAUGAGGAAAACAUUACCAGUCCAUUAUGCAGCACUUCAGCUUGAUUACCUUGGUCUAAUUGCUCACUGGAUGGGAAAAAGAGGCAGUGUAGAAUCAAAGAUAAGAUACUUGUGAUCAAGUGCCAGCAAAGGCUUUUGUGAAAAUGCUAACGUGUCCUGUCUGUCAAAAAGUCACACUUUCGGAAGUGCAUUGGUGUAUUUGUAUAUUGGGGGG